UACGGAGGGGGCUAGCGUUGUUCGGAAUUACUGGGCGUAAAGGGCUCGUAGGCGGCCAACUAAGUCAGACGUGAAAUCCCCAGGCUCAACCUGGGAACUGCGUCUGAUACUGGAUGGCUUGAAUCCGGGAGAGGGAUGCAGAAUUCCAGGUGUAGCGGUGAAAUGCGUAGAUAUCUGGAGGAAUACCGGUGGCGAAGGCGGCAUCCUGGACCGGCAUUGACGCUGAGGAGCGAAAGCCAGGGGAGCAAACGGG
rnacentral:rRNA from 1 species